rnacentral:tRNA from 2 species
CGGGGCGUAGCGCAGUUUGGUAGCGCGCUUCCUUGGGGUGGAAGAGGUCGUGGGUUCAAAUCCCGUCGCUCCGACCA